ACAGCGCUUCCGCCCUGCCCAGGCUCCGUUUCCCAUGAGGCGUUGCGGCCGCGGGUGCGUUGCCAUGGCAGCGGCCCACGCGGCCCAGGCGGUUCCCCGGGAUGGACGUCUUCCGGCCCCGUUACUACAGCCCGAAGGAGGUGGCGGUGCACAACCGGCCCUGGGACCUCUGGGUGGCCUUCUUGGGGCGGGUCUUCGACCUCACCCCGCUGGCGAAGCAGUACAAGGGUGAUCUCUUGCUGAAGCCUAUCCUAGAUGCAGCAGGGAAAGACAUCAGCCACUGGUUCAACCCCAAGACCAAGGAUAUCCAGACGCACAUCGAUCCCCUCACAGGCUGUCUCAAGUACUACACCCCCCAGGGCCGCUUUAUACACAUCCCACCUCCGCUGCCUCGCUCAGACUGGGCCAAUGACUUUGGCAAGCCCUGGUGGAAGAAUCCCAAGUAUGAGGUUGGCAUCCUGUCCGCCAAAACCAGGCACAUCCGGAUCAUCAACACUCUGACUUCCCAAGAGCACAUGCUGGAGGUGUGCUCUGAAGAAUCCAUGUGGGAGAUCCUGCGACGGUACCUUCCCUUCAAUGUCCACGCCGCCAGCUACACCUGGAAAUACGAAGGAGUCAACCUGGACAUGGAUCGGAACCUGCAGCAGAACCACAUCCCAGAUGAGGACGAGGAGUUCUACACCCUCGGCAUGGAUGCGGACUCCUUCACCCCGGCCAUCCUGCUCUACUUCAACGACGACCUCACUGAGUUUUAGAACAAAAGGGCCCCCGAGGACUCCAUCCAAAUGCCCACCCAGCGCAGGAAGGAGCCAUUUCUUGCCUUGCGACCAGCCAUCGCUUCACAAGAACUGGUGCAAUGACGCAGCAUUCUUCAUAUCCUGCACUGCUCGCAGAGGCCUUUCCUCUCGACCCACUGUGGAGCCAGGCACUGAGCUGCGUGAGUGUGGCGGAGGGAGUUUUCUGGUGAGCUCAAAGGGCUGGACUGCUGCAUUACUGUUUUUUUCAACAACCUGAAGUUUUGCUUUUUGUGCCAAACAGGAGCAGAGUGUCUUUCUAGCAUCAUUAAAAGACUUUACUAUAAAACAGCCAUCUUGAGCAUCUUGUGGCAAAAAGAGAAACGGGGGCAACACAAAACUAUUUAGGUCUCCCCUCAGUUCUGUUACGAUUGCUGAUAUCUGCUUGGACUUGAGAGGCAUCAAAAUGAUUAUUGCGAAGGACUAAUGUAAAUGGAUCCCUGAAACAUAAUUUUAUGGACCUGAGGAUCUGUCCAUCCCAGGGAUCUCCAAAGGGAUGCUCAUGGCCACACGCUGACACCUUAAUUUGGUGCCCAGCAGCUGUUUUUAAGAAAACAGGUGAGAUUGGGGGGGGGGGGCAGCUCUUACCCAGCAGAGCUUUUGACUGACCACUGAAGAUCUGAUCGGGUGUACAGAUUAAAAUAAUAUUUCAGCGGCAGCUGCCUA